rnacentral:lncRNA from 1 species
CACCGCCGUCACCCGGCUCCAGUCCGCGGCCUACGCGGCGCUCCGCGACGCCUUCGUCCGGGGCACGCCGUCGCUGCCCAGGUCCUCCGGGGUGUCGCUGUUCGACACGUGCUACGACCUGUCGGGCCGGACGAGCGUGGAGGUGCCCGCGGUGUCGCUGCGGUUCGAGGGCGGCGGGUCGCUGCGGCUGCCGGCGAAGAACUACCUGAUCCCAGUGGACGGCGCGGGCACCUACUGCCUGGCGUUCGCGCCGACGAACGCCGCCGUGUCCAUCAUCGGGAACGUGCAGCAGCAGGGCACCCGCGUCAGCUUCGACACCGCCAAGGGCGCCGUCGGCUUCACCCCCAACAAGUGCUAGCCUGGCACUG